UCCGAGUUGUCCCCGGCAGUCUCUUAUGAGUCCCCGGCAUAACCCGCUGGUAACAUAAGACAAGGGUUGCGCUCGUUGCGGGACUUAACCCAACAUCUCACGACACGAGCUGACGACAGCCAUGCACCACCUAUCGCAGGCCCUUUCGGACACUACAUCUCUGUGGCUUUUCCUGCGUAGUUCAACCCAGGUAAGGUUCUUCGCGUUGCAUCGAAUUAAGCAACAUGCUCCGCCGCUUGUGCGGGCCCCCGUCAAUUCUUUUGAGUUUUAGCCUUGCGGCCGUACUCCCCAGGCGGAACACUUAUCGCGUUGGCUUCGGCACGGACAGAUUCGACUCCGCCCACACCUAGUGUUCAUCGUUUACAGCGUGGACUAC
rnacentral:misc_RNA from 1 species